rnacentral:tRNA from 1 species
ACCUGGGUGGCUCAGUCGGUUGAGCAUCCAACUUUGGCUCAGGUCAUGAUCUCGCAGUUCGCGGGUUCAAGUCCCGCAUCAGGCU